AUGGAGGAGGCCGUCGUGAUUCGUGAUGGAGGCGGCGCCGCCGGCAAGCUGGUUGAGCACAGAGGAACGAGGAAUGGAUACAUGAGGCAUAGCGUAAGCGUAGGGGUCAGCCAGAGCACGACGCAAGAGUCUGCCCAUCUCCUCUCAAAGAACACAGACGUCGGUAGCAGGAGAAAGUAUGUGACUUGGUUGAGUCAGCCAAGAAAUAUGGUGGUUGGUCAGGAAACUGAAGCUGCAGCUACGAAGAGCCAAAGAACAUUCUUGCUGAACAGGCUAAAGCCAAGAGGAGGCAGAUAUGUGAUUCUCAUGUGA
rnacentral:rRNA from 1 species